UUUUACCAUUUUGCAGACGAUGAGAGAGGAGUGGAUGGCUUGCCAACUGAAGGUGUAGAAAUUACACAUUUUAAUCUGGAAGGUGCUCGCUACAUGAUUUACACACCAUCAGAUCCACUUCUUUUUGUCGCUUUGAAGGAUGAGAACGGGAUAUUGCAAAUUGCUGAUGAUG